rnacentral:rRNA from 1 species
CCUACGGGGUGCAGCAGUGAGGAAUAUUGGUCAAUGGACGAGAGUCUGAACCAGCCAAGUAGCGUGAAGGAUGACUGCCCUAUGGGUUGUAAACUUCUUUUAUAUGGGAAUAAAACGUUCCACGUGUGGGAUUUUGUAUGUACCUUCUGAAUAAGGAUCGGCUAACUCCGUGCCAGCAGCCGCGGUAAUACGGAGGAUCCGAGCGUUAUCCGGAUUUAUUGGGUUUAAAGGGAGCGUAGGUGGAUUGUUAAGUCAGUUGUGAAAGUUUGCGGCUCAACCGUAAAAUGGCAGUUGAAACUGGCAGUCUUGAGUACAGUAGAGGUGGGCGGAAUGCGUGGUGUAGCGGUGAAAUGCUUAGAUAUCACGAAGAACUCCGAUUGCGAAGGCAGUUCACUGGACUGCAACUGACACUGAGGCUCGAAAGUGUGGGUAUCAAACAGGAUUAGAUACCCGAGUAGUC